rnacentral:rRNA from 1 species
AUCGNGGUCGCAAACUUCUUUNUAGAUAUGAACUCUUAAAAGAAAUAACGNUGUUAUCCCUAAAGUAACUUAACCUUUUGAUCUUUAUAUAAGGAUCUAUUAAUUAUCAGGCACUUCUGAAUUUAUAUUAAACAGUUACUAAUUUUAUUUAUACCGCCCCAGUAGAAUAUUAUUUUAUUAAAGAUACAUAGACGUUAUAAAUAGUAUCUCUAAUAAUAAAAUAUUAAGAUUUAUAGGGUCUUAUCGUCCCUCUAAAGUAUUUAAGCCUUUUCACUUAAAAGUUAAAUUCAAAAUGUAUAAAAGAAACAGUUUAUUUCUCGUCCAACCAUUCAUNCGAGUCUUCAAUUAAAAUACUAANNAUUAUACUACCUUUCCAUCANCANAAUACUACGGCCCU